GGUGAGAAUAAAAUAUUUGAUGGAUCAUAGUUGAGUUAAAUCUCUUCAUGAUCCAUGCUUGUUCAUAUUUUACACCUUGAUCAAGGGACAUUAUAAGAGAAAUCAUAGGAAGGCUCUCUAAUUCAUUGGUCUAGUGGAUUCAAGAGCCCUAGAUCUUUUAGAUAAUUUACCUUUAUAAUUAAUUAGUUUAUUGCUUUGGUAGUUCAUAAUUCAACAAACAAUCUCUUCCCUUUUUCUCUAAAGCUUGCCUGAGCAAGCAUUUAAAUACAAUUCAAAAUCCAAUUCCUCGUGGG
rnacentral:lncRNA from 1 species